GACGAGGGCGCGAGCGUUGUCCGGAUUUAUUGGGCGUAAAGAGCUCGUAGGCGGCUUGUCGCGUCGUUUCGUGAAAACCUGCAGCUCAACUGCAGGCUUGCGGUCGAUACGGGCAGGCUAGAGUUCGGUAGGGGAGACUGGAAUUCCUGGUGUAGCGGUGAAAUGCGCAGAUAUCAGGAGGAACACCGGUGGCGAAGGCGGGUCUCUGGGCCGAUACUGACGUGAGGAGCGAAAGCGUGGGGAGCGAACAGG
rnacentral:rRNA from 1 species